rnacentral:rRNA from 3 species
GGUGGCGAUAGCGAAGAGGUCACACCCGUUCCCAUACCGAACACGGAAGUUAAGCUCUUCAGCGCCGAUGGUAGUCGGGGGUUUCCCCCUGUGAGAGUAGGACGCCGCCAAGC